GGCUGAGGAAGUUUGCCAACACUGGGUCCUGGCCUGCAGGGGAGGGAAACAGGCCAGCUCCCAGGCAGAAGAAGUGGUACCAGCUUUAUCAAAUGAUUGAGAAAUGUCCAAAGAUGGGACAUUCACAUCAGUCUUUGUUUGGUCAUGUGAGACAUUGUACAUGUGGAUUCCACACUCAGAAGCCAACCACAGCAAGUACUACCCAGGGUCCCACAGGGCAACAGGCAGUAGCAGUGGCUCCUGUCCUUCCAGGCACAGUGGAGCGACAGGCAGUAGCAGUGGCUCCC